GACGAAGGGGGCUAGCGUUGUUCGGAAUUAUUGGGCGUAAAGCGAGUGUAGGUGGUUGUCCAAGUUGGAUGUGAAAGCCUUGAGCUCAACUCAAGAAAUGCAUUCAGGACUGGGCGGCUAGAGGACCGGAGAGGAUAGUGGAAUUCCCAGUGUAGUGGUGAAAUACGUAGAGAUUGGGAAGAACACCAGUGGCGAAGGCGGCUAUCUGGACGGUUUCUGACACUAAGACUCGAAAGCGUGGGGAGCAAACAGG
rnacentral:rRNA from 1 species